rnacentral:rRNA from 1 species
CCCUUAGAUGUUCUGGGCCGCACGCGCGCUACACUGACACACUCAACGAGUUUACAACCUUGCUUGAAAAGGGCUGGGUAAUCUUUUAAAAUUGUGUCGUGAUGGGGAUAGAUUAUUGCAAUUAUUAAUCUUCAACGAGGAAUUCCUAGUAAACGCAAGUCAUCAGCUUGCAUUGAUUACGUCCCUGCCCUUUGUACACACCGCCCGUCGCACCUACCGAUUGAAUGGUCCGGUGAAAUUUUCGGACCGUGGCAAUGCUUCCUUUAUUGCAGGCGCUGCCGUGGGAAGUUAAUUAAACCUUACCAUUUAGAGGAAGGUGAAGUCGUAACA